UACGAACCGUACAAACGUUAUUCGGAAUUACUGGGCGUAAAGGGCUCGUAGGCGGCCAACUAAGUCGGACGUGAAAUCCCUCGGCUUAACCGGGGAACUGCGUCCGAUACUGGAUGGCUUGAGUAUGGGAGAGGGAUGCGGAAUUCCAGGUGUAGCGGUAGAAAUGCGUAGAGUAUCUGGAGGAACACCGGUGGCGAAGGCGGCAUCCUGGACCAUUACUGACGCUGAGGAGCGAAAGCCAGGGAGCAAACGGG
rnacentral:rRNA from 1 species